rnacentral:rRNA from 1 species
GAUGAACGCUGGCGGCGUGCCUAAUACAUGCAAGUCGAGCGAACAGAUGAGAAGCUUGCUUCUCUGAUGUUAGCGGCGGACGGGUGAGUAACACGUGGGUAACCUACCUAUAAGACUGGGAUAACUCCGGGAAACCGGGGCUAAUACCGGAUAAUAUUUUGAACCGCAUGGUUCAAUAGUGAAAGACGGUUUCGGCUGUCACUUAUAGAUGGACCCGCGCCGUAUUAGCUAGUUGGUAAGGUAACGGCUUACCAAGGCGACGAUACGUAGCCGACCUGAGAGGGUGGUCGGCCACACUGGAACUGAGACACGGUCCAGACUCCUACGGGAGGCAGCAGUAGGGAAUCUUCCGCAAUGGGCGAAAGCCUGACGGAGCAACGCCGCGUGAGUGAUGAAGGUCUUCGGAUCGUAAAACUCUGUUGUUAGGGAAGAACAAAUUUGUUAGUAACUGAACAAGUCUUGACGGUACCUAACCAGAAAGCCACGGCUAACCACGUGCCAGCCGCCGCAGUAA